UAGGCUUAGAGAUCAAGAAAGGGCCAAGAC
rnacentral:piRNA from 1 species